AGCAGCCGCGGUAAUUCCAGCUCCAAUAGCGUAUAUUAAAGUUGUUGCAGUUAAAAAGCUCGUAGUUGAAUUUCGGGAUUGACACAUCGGUCGUGCCUUAAGGGGUAUGAACUGGUGUAGUCAAUUUCUCACCUUCUGGAGAACCACGAUGCCCUUAAUUGGGUGUCGCGGGGAACCAGGACCUUUACUUUAGAAAAAAUUAGAGUGUUUAAAGCAGGCAUUUUGCUUGAAUACAUUAGCAUGGAAUAAUAAAAUAGGACGGCAUGAUUCUAUUUUGUUGGUUUCUAGGAUCACCGUAAUGAUUAAUAGGGAUAGUUGGGGGCAUUAGUAUUCAAUUGUCAGAGGUGAAAUUCUUAGGAUUUAUUGAAGACUAACUACUGCGAAAGCAUUUGCCAAGGAUGUUUUCAUUAAUCAAGAACGAAAGUU
rnacentral:rRNA from 1 species